rnacentral:rRNA from 1 species
AGUGAACGCUGGCGGUAGGCCUAACACAUGCAAGUCGAACGGCAGCACAGUAAGAGCUUGCUCUUACGGGUGGCGAGUGGCGGACGGGUGAGGAAUACAUCGGAAUCUACUUUUUCGUGGGGGAUAACGUAGGGAAACUUACGCUAAUACCGCAUACGACCUACGGGUGAAAGCAGGGGAUCUUCGGACCUUGCGCGAUUGAAUGAGCCGAUGUCGGAUUAGCUAGUUGGCGGGGUAAAGGCCCACCAAGGCGACGAUCCGUAGCUGGUCUGAGAGGAUGAUCAGCCACACUGGAACUGAGACACGGUCCAGACUCCUACGGGAGGCAGCAGUGGGGAAUAUUGGACAGUGGGCGCAAGCCUGAUCCAGCCAUACCGCGUGGGUGAAGAAGGCCUUCGGGUUGUAAAGCCCUUUUGUUGGGAAAGAAAAGCAGCAGGUUAAUACCCCGCUGUUCUGACGGUACCCAAAGAAUAGCACCGGCUAACUUCAUG